AAUCCAAAAUGCUCGGCAAUUAUUAUUAUUAGACUACCAUCCAACUCGGGGUUAUAGAUUUGUAGAAUUGCUUUAAUAAAAAAUUUGUAAUACUAUAUUUGGCCACAGGUCGACGAAAAAAGUAUAGAGUUGAAAAUAUUAUUUCUAAAUGUACGUGUAUAAAUGAAAUCACUCUCUAUAUAUAUUCUAUUCGUUCUAACAUCCAUUCUAAAACGUGACACGCCUAUUAGCAGUAACAGCAUUUUUCACAUAAAGAGCUCAUACUACUGACGGGUGUGCUACUGUCGUAGAUAGGAAGUUGGGAAAAUAUGCUGCAUAGAGUUAUA